UUAAUACUUCAUAAAGUCAAUUUAAGGCAUCUUUUAUUGAUUAAAGCUCCGGCGGUUAGAGAUGGGCAUGCGUGUCAUUAGCUAGUUGGUGAGGUAACGGCUCACCAAGGCCACGAUGACUAGGGGGUCUGAGAGGAUGAUCCCCCACACUGGUACUGAGACACGGACCAGACUCCUACGGGAGGCAGCAGUGAGGAAUAUUGGGCAAUGGACGCAAGUCUGACCCAGCCAUGCCGCGUGCAGGAUGACUGCCCUAUGGGUUGUAAACUGCUUUUGUUUGGGAAGAAACCCCCGAUCGUGAUCGGGGCUGACGGUACCAUACGAAUAAGCAUCGGCUAACUCCGUGCCAGCAGCCGCGGUAAUACGGAGGAUGCAAGCGUUAUCCGGAUUCAUUGGGUUUAAAGGGUGCGCAGGCGGAAUAUUAAGUCAGUGGUGAAAUCCUGCAGCCUAACUGUAGAACUGCCAUUGAUACUGAUAUUCUUGAAUAUAGUUGAGGUGGGCGGAAUGUGUAAUGUAGCGGUGAAAUGCUUAGAUAUUACACAGAACACCAAUUGCGUAGGCAGCUCACUAAACUAAUAUUGACGCUGAGGCACGAAAGCGUGGGUAGCAAACAGGAUUAGAUACCCUGGUAGUCCACGCUGUAAACUAUGAUCACUCGCUGUUGGCAAUACAUCGUCAGCGGCUGAGCGAAAGCAUUAAGUGAUCCACCUGGGGAGUACGGUCGCAAGAUUGAAACUCAAAGGAAUUGACGGGGGCCCGCACAAGCGGAGGAACAUGUGGUUUAAUUCGAUGAUACGCGAGGAACCUUACCUGGGCUUAAAUGCAGAGCGACGUCCGCCGAAAGGUGGAUUCCUUCGGGCGAUCUGCAAGGUGCUGCAUGGUUGUCGUCAGCUCGUGCCGUGAGGUGUCGGGUUAAGUCCCAUAAUGAGCGCAACCCUUAUCGUUAGUUGCCAGCGGGUAAUGCCGGGGACUCUAACGAAACUGCCGGUGUAAACCGUGAGGAAGGUGGGGAUGACGUCAAAUCAGCACGGCCCUUAUGUCCAGGGCUACACACGUGUUACAAUGGUCGGUACAGAGGGCAGCUACCACGCAAGUGGAUGCUAAUCUCGAAAACCGGUCUCAGUUCGGAUUGAAGUCUGCAACUCGACUUCAUGAAGCUGGAUUCGCUAGUAAUCGCGCAUCAGCCAUGGCGCGGUGAAUA
rnacentral:rRNA from 1 species